rnacentral:rRNA from 1 species
CAGCAGCCACGGUAAUACAGAGGGUGCGAGCGUUAAUCGGAUUUACUGGGCGUAAAGCGUGCGUAGGCGGCUUUUUAAGUCGGAUGUGAAAUCCCUGAGCUUAACUUAGGAAUUGCAUUCGAUACUGGUUAGCUAGAGUGUGGGAGAGGAUGGUAGAAUUCCAGGUGUAGCGGUGAAAUGCGUAGAGAUCUGGAGGAAUACCGAUGGCGAAGGCAGCCAUCUGGCCUAACACUGACGCUGAGGUACGAAAGCAUGGGGAGCAAACAGGAUUAGAUACCCGAGUAGUCCCUGUCUCUUAUAA